rnacentral:rRNA from 1 species
AACGUAGGUGACGAGCGUUAUCCGGAUUUACUGGGCGUAAAGAGCUUGUAGGUGGCUCUGUAAGUUGGGCGUGAAAGCCCCGGGCUUAACUCGGGGAGGUUGCUCAAUACUGCGGGGCUAGAGGGUGUCAGAGGGAAGUGGAAUUCCUGGUGUAGCAGUGAAAUGCGUAGAUAUCAGGAGGAACACCCGUGGCGAAGGCGGCUUCCUGGGGCAUUCCUGACACUGAGAAGCGAAAGCUAGGGGAGCGAACGGG